CUGUUGAGAAUAAGCGAAACGAACACGUCUUUAUAUCAGCAAUUGGCAAUUUGAGAUGGUUCACAAGUCACAGUAAUCUGAAAGUUUUGCAGCAUUUCUAAAAGGGAAUUGUUAUUGGCACCCCAAAAUUCUCAUUCUAUACUCCAAAUUUUCUAUAUUUAGAAAGAAAAAUACACUUGUGAGGAGUGUAGAAUGAGAUUUGAAGCGCCAACAACACUUCCCUUCUAAAAUACCUUCUCCUAUAUACUAAAUACCUUGCUGUAACCCUAGUUAUACAAAUUGUAUGAGCCUUUAUAAUUCUUUUAAUGAUAGUGAUUGGAAUUAUAAAAAAUGAAACCUCCCUAUUUGGUUUUCAAAAUUAGAUCCUGCCCAUGUUAAUAGAAAGUACCACACUGUAUUUUGCAAACGAAAUGCCCCAAAACGAAUGAGAUAGACAUCUAACAUACAGACUUGAGACUUCCUACAUCAAUGCACUAAGAUUUACAUCUGCAAAAGAUCAAAUCACGUAAACUCGAUGGACCAGCACAAAGCACAUGAUUGAAAUUGAUACCUUCUUUAUUGCUUGCCAAGCACGAUUCCACCUCUCGCCAC
rnacentral:lncRNA from 1 species